rnacentral:tRNA from 1 species
UGUCCCGUUGUUGCCCCGAUUAUUGGAAAAACUUGUAACGUGCUGUAUAUCGAAUUACAAUUAGGUUAGAACACCUGUCUCCUUAACAUUGGACCGAGGUUCGAAUCCUCGUGGGACAA